rnacentral:rRNA from 1 species
AUGCUGAAUUCAUUAAAGUCUCUCUCUUUGUCAGGAGGCUCUGGGCCGAACUAUGACCGGCUUGAGUGGGAAGCAGGUGACGAAGGAAUUCGCUGCCCACCCACCACCCACUUCAUUGCCACGGUCGAUGAUUUAACCGACGUGCUUGACUUCGACUUUGAAGACAUCGACGGUAUGGACGACGAUGCCGGAGACGUACAGGAGCCACCGCUCACAGGGCGGUGGUUAGCCACCUCUUUAUACAAUAUAUAUAUACAUAUGGUGGACACUCCGAAAGAAACCAAUGGUGAUGAGGCAACGGAGGAUAACCCCUCAAGGAAGAAAGCAAAGCAUGGGCGUCGCCAACGCCUCUCCAAGCCCCACCAAGGCAAUACCGGCAUCGGAGACGAAAACAAUUUGGACGGUGCCGACGAUGAAUACAACCCCGAUCAGCCCGCCUUCGAGCAGGCCGAGCAGGAAGAUGGGCAGGAUAGCCUAUCACGACCGGUUUUCCAGGUAUUAAUUUCCCAGAAAAUGGCCUUUGUGCUCACCAGCCCCAGGAUUACUGUUAGCUGA